GACGAACGCUGGCGGCGUGCUUAACACAUGCAAGUCGAACGGAAAGGCCCUGCUUUUGUGGGGUGCUCGAGUGGCGAACGGGUGAGUAACACGUGAGUAACCUGCCCUUGACUUUGGGAUAACUUCAGGAAACUGGGGCUAAUACCGGAUAGGAGCUCCUGCUGCAUGGUGGGGGUUGGAAAUUUUCGGCGGUUGGGGAUGGACUCGCGGCUUAUCAGCUUGUUGGUGGGGUAGUGGCUUACCAAGGCUUUGACGGGUAGCCGGCCUGAGAGGGUGACCGGCCACAUUGGGACUGAGAUACGGCCCAGACGCCUACGGGAGGCAGCAGUGGGGAAUAUUGCCCAAUGGGCGGAAGCCUGAUGCAGCAACGCCGCGUGCGGGAUGACGGCCUUCGGGUUGUAAACCGCUUUCGCCUGUGACGAAGCGUGAGUGACGGUAAUGGGUAAAGAAGCACCGGCUAACUACGUG
rnacentral:rRNA from 1 species